rfam:Glycine soja cultivar W05 scaffold213_34, whole genome shotgun sequence.
AUCUGGUGGUGAGGGCAACUGGCACAUAGCUUUUUAAAUCUCUCCCAGUAUUCAUAUAGGCUAUCUCCCCUGAGUUGUUUAAUGCCUGAAAUAUCAUUUCUGAUGGU